rnacentral:lncRNA from 1 species
CUUCGUCUUCUUCUAACGCACACCACCACCGUCUUAAUCUCAACCACCUUGACUGCACCGAAAUCACCGACUUCACUGUCUCCAAGUUCAAACAAGUCAUCAACUUGUUGAAUCGCACGGGACACGCUCGCUUUCGUAGCGCACCUUCUCAUCCUUCUCCUUCUACUUCUCUUCCUUCUCAACCUCAACCUCAACCACAACCACAACCAUAUGCACUGACUCUUGAUUUCGCAAAACCUGUUAUGCUUAAGUCAAAU